rnacentral:misc_RNA from 1 species
UACGGAGGACUCAAGCGUUACCCGGAUUUAUUGGGCGUAAAGCGUUGCGUAGGUGGUUUAGUAAGUGAGAUAUGAAAUGUUACGGCUCAACCGUGAACCCGUAUCUCAAACUACUAAACUAGAGCGUGGUAGAGGCAAGUGGAAUUCCUGGUGUAGGAGUGAAAUCCGUAGAUAUCAGGAGGAACACCAAUGGCGAAGGCAGCUUGCUGGGCCACCGCUGACACUGAGGCACGAAAGCGUGGGGAGCGAACCGG